rnacentral:snRNA from 1 species
GAAUGUGAGGGUGAUCUGGUUGAGACAUCUGUCACCCCAUUAAUCCCCAGGGUUGAUUUGGCUCAUCUGGCUGGCUAGGCAGGUGUCCCCUUCCUCCCUCACCACUCCAUGUGCAUCCCUCCCGAAGCUGCACACUUGGUUGAAGAGGAUGACCAUCCCCGAUAGAAGAGAACCCGUCUUUGGGGUAUAAGAGUAGCUGCACUCCCCUCCUAGAACUUCCAAACAGCUCUCAAUGUGAGCUUUUUUGGGGGAGAUAAAUAGUUUUAUAUAUAUAUAUAUAUAUAUUUUUUUUUUUU